rnacentral:rRNA from 1 species
CACAUGCAAGUCGAGCGGAAAGGCCCUUCGGGGUACUCGAGCGGCGAACGGGUGAGUAACACGUGAGCAACCUGCCCUAGGCUUUGGGAUAACCCCGGGAAACCGGGGCUAAUACCGAAUAUGACCUGGCCUCGCAUGAGGCUUGGUGGAAAGUUUUUCGGCCUGGGAUGGGCUCGCGGCCUAUCAGCUUGUUGGUGGGGUGAUGGCCUACCAAGGCGACGACGGGUAGCCGGCCUGAGAGGGCGACCGGCCACACUGGGACUGAGACACGGCCCAGACUCCUACGGGAGGCAGCAGUGGGGAAUAUUGCACAAUGGGCGGAAGCCUGAUGCAGCGACGCCGCGUGAGGGAUGACGGCCUUCGGGUUGUAAACCUCUUUCAGCAGGGACGAAGCGUAAGUGACGGUACCUGCAGAAGAAGCGCCGGCCAACUACGUGCCAGCAGCCGCGGUAAGACGUAGGGCGCGAGCGUUGUCCGGAUUUAUUGGGCGUAAAGAGCUCGUAGGCGGCUUGUCGCGUCGACUGUGAAAACCCGCAGCUCAACUGCGGGCCUGCAGUCGAUACGGGCAGGCUAGAGUUCGGUAGGGGAGACUGGAAUUCCUGGUGUAGCGGUGAAAUGCGCAGAUAUCAGGAGGAACACCGGUGGCGAAGGCGGGUCUCUGGGCCGAUACUGACGCUGAGGAGCGAAAGCGUGGGGAGCGAACAGGAUUAGAUACCCUGGUAGUCCACGCUGUAAACGUUGGGCGCUAGGUGUGG